AACGUAGGAGACAAACGUUAUCCGGAGUUACUGGGCGUAAAGGGCGCGUAGGCGGUCAGCACAAGUCAGUUGUGAAAUCUCCGAGCUUAACUCGGAGCGGUCAACUGAUACUGUGCGACUAGAGUGCAGAAGGGGCAACUGGAAUUCUUGGUGUAGCGGUGAAAUGCGUAGAUAUCAAGAGGAACACCUGCGGCGAAGGCGGGUUGCUGGGCUGACACUGACGCUGAGGCGCGAAAGCCAGGGGAGCGAACGGG
rnacentral:rRNA from 1 species